GCGGGCGUGGCGGAAUGGCAGACGCGCCGGGUUUAGGUCCCGGUGGGGAAACUCGUGGAGGUUCAAAUCCUCUCGCCCGCACCA
rnacentral:tRNA from 1 species